rnacentral:rRNA from 1 species
GAUUAAGGGCGCGCGGUGGAUGCCUAGGCUCUCGGAGGCGAAGAAGGACGCGAUAAGCCGCGAUAGUCCACGGCGAGGUGCAAGUAACCCUUGACCCGUGGGUUUCCGAAUGGGGCAACCCGGCCGUCUAGAUGACGGUCAUGCAUUAUCAUGCAGGCGAACGCGGGGAACUGAAACAUCUCAUUACCCGCAGGAGAAGAAAACAACAGUGAUUCCCCCAGUAGUGGCGAGCGAACGGGGAAGAGCCCAAACCGCUGCCGUUUCGGCGACGGCGGGGUCAUGGGACCGCGACAUUCGACGGAAGACGAAGUGCAAUUACCUGGAAAGGUAAGCCGUGGAGGGUGACAGCCCCGUGCACGACACCUCUUUCUUAGAUAGCGGAAUCCCGAGUAGGGCGGGACACGAGAAAUCCUGCCUGAAUUCGCCAGGACCUCCUGGCAAGGCUAAAUACUCCCGAGAGACCGAUAGUGAACCAGUACCGCGAGGGAAAGGUGAAAAGUACCCCGAGCAGGGGGGUGAAAUAGACCCUGAACCCGCGCGCCUACAAGCGGUCGGAGCCACGCGAUGUGGUGACGGCGUGCCUUUUGCAUAAUGAGCCUACGAGUUAGUCGUCACCAGCGAGGUUAAGGGCUUCAGGCCCGUCAGCCGAAGUGAAAGCGAGCCUUAACAGGGCGUGAAGUUGGUGGCGCUAGACGCGAAACCUUGUGAUCUACCCACGAGCAGGUUGAAGUCGCGGUAACACGUGAUGGAGGACCGAACCGGUAAACGUUGAAAAGUUUUCGGAUGACUCGCGGGUAGGGGUGAAAGGCCAAUCAAACUGGGAAAUAGCUCGUACUCUCCGAAAUGCAUUUCGGUGCAGCCUGUGAUGUUCUGUUCCAGAGGUAGAGCUACUGGUUGGACGCGAGGGCUUCACCGCCUAUCAAAUCCGGAUAAACUCCGAAUGCUGGAACACGAAAUCAUGGAGUGAGCCCGCGGGUGCUAAGGUCCGCGGACGAGAGGGAAAGAACCCGGACCACCGGCUAAGGUCCCGGAUGGACAGUUAAGUUGAUCAAACGAGGUGGGAUCGCGGAGACAGCUAGGAUGUUGGCUUGGAAGCAGCCAUUCAUUUAAAGAGUGCGUAACAGCUCACUAGUCGAGCGAUCCCGCGUGGAUAAUACACGGGCAUAAAACUGUCAACCGAAGCCGUGGGGUUAGCUUUAUUGCUAACCGGUAGGAGAGCAUUCCUGCCAGCUUUGAAGGUCACCCGCGAGAGUGACUGGAGCGGCAUGAAAAGCAAAUGUAGGCAUAAGUAACGAUAAUGGGGGCGAGAACCCCCCACGCCGCAAGACCAAGGUUUCCCCGGCAAUGUCAAUCAGCCGGGGGUCAGCCGGCCUCUAAGGCUCACCCGAAGGGGGAUGCCGACGAGAAACGGGUUAACAUUCCCGUGCUUCUCGUCACCGUGACGCGGUGACGGGGUGAUGAAUGGACCGCGCGCUGACGGAAUAGCGCGUUGAAGGCCGUACCCUUUGAGGGUGGUAGUCAAGCACGCCACCCGAGGCGACAGCCGAUAGUACCUCGAGGCCUCGGCCGAGUGGAUAGCGUCCAGGCAAUUAACCCCCUAGAAAACCCGCUAAACUUCAAGUGACGAGGAACCGUACUGUAAACGGACACACGUGGUCGGGUAGAACAUACCAAGGCGCUCGAGUGAUUCAUGGUCAAGGAACUAGGCAAAAUAGUCCUGUAACUUAGGGAUAAAGGACGCUCUAGUGAUAGAGCCGCAGAGAAAUGGCCCAGGCGACUGUUUACCAAAAACACAUGGCUAUGCCAAAUCGAAAGAUGACGUAUAUGGCCUGACACCUGCCCGGUGCCGGAAGGUUAAGAGGAGAGCUCAUCCGCGAGGAGAAGGUUUGAAUUGAAGCCCCGGUAAACGGCGGCCGUAACUAUAACGGUCCUAAGGUAGCGAAAUUCCUUGUCGGGUAAGUUCCGACCUGCACGAAUGGUGUAACGAUCUGGGCACUGUCUCGACCAUGAGCUCGGUGAAAUUGUAGUUCCGGUGAAGAUGCCGG